rnacentral:rRNA from 1 species
ACGUACACUCCUGCGGGAGGCAGCAGUGGGGAAUAUUGGACAAUGGGCGAAAGCCUGAUCCAGCAAUGCCGCGUGAGUGAUGAAGGCCUUAGGGUUGUAAAGCUCUUUUACCCGGGAUGAUAAUGACAGUACCGGGAGAAUAAGCCCCGGCUAACUCCGUGCCAGCAGCCGCGGUAAUACGGAGGGGGCUAGCGUUGUUCGGAAUUACUGGGCGUAAAGCGCGCGUAGGCGGCUUUGUAAGUUAGAGGUGAAAGCCCGGAGCUCAACUUCGGAAUUGCCUUUAAGACUGCAUCGCUAGAAUCGUGGAGAGGUGAGUGGAAUUCCGAGUGGAGAGGUGAAAUUCGUAGAUAUUCGGAAGAACACCAGUGGCGAAGGCGACUCACUGGACACGUAUUGACGCUGAGGUGCGAAAGCGUGGGGAGCAAACAGGAUUAGAAACCCGAGUAGUCCC